UCCUAUAUAUUACAGCGGUGGG
rnacentral:siRNA from 1 species